rnacentral:rRNA from 1 species
CUUUUCAUGGUUUCUGUGGAGCACUUAACGCAAUAAGUUCCCCGCGUGGGGAGUACGGCAGCAAGCCUAAAACUCAAAGGAAUUGUCGGGGGCCAGCACAAGCGGCGGAGCAUGUGGAUUAAUUCGAUGCAACGCGAAGAACCUUACCAAGGCUUGACAUAUAGAGGAAACGUGCAGAAAUGUACGCCCCGCAAGGUCUCUAUACAGGUGGUGCAUGGUUGUCGUCAGCUCGUGUCGUGAGAUGUUGGGUUAAGUCCCGCAACGAGCGCAACCCUCGUCCUAUGUUGCCAGCACGUAAUGGUGGGAACUCAUGGGAGACUGCCGGGGUCAACUCGGAGGAAGGUGGGGAUGAGGUCAAAUCAUCAUGCGCCUUAGGUUUUGGGGUUCACGCUUGGUACAAUGGC